UUGUACUGUAAUUUUAGUACGUGGCAAGUUAGUCUGUUAUAGUGUGAAUUCCUGUAAUGUGAACAUUGAUCCAUACAGAAAUAGAAUCCAAAGUAGCAGGAGCGGAAGGCAUGUAUUUAAAUAUGAAUCUGAAGAAGAAUGAUCAACAACAGCAGAUGUCUGACCUCAGCUGAGACCUCUGAAAGAGCUCCCCUCAAAGGUUCAUUCAGUAAUGCAACCUUGCCAUUUGAGCUCAUUCCAAAGCCUACAUGGAUCUUAACUGCCUUUGCAGAUGGAAGCCUCAGCCAGUUGAUGUCAAGAAACACUACAAGGAAAAAAAAAUUCACCCCUUGAGUCCUGGAAAGCCUGUAUCAGGUACUACCAAAAUAUGCAUUGGCAUUUAUUGGAUAGUAUGGUGUUCUAUAGAAAUAUGAGGUUUGCAAAUAAAGUAACUAUUUGGACAUUGUGGAAGGAAAAAUCAAAGUUCUCUGUGACCAUGUGCCUUUACAGUGUGACUUUUUCACAGCUUUCAUCAAGACAUGGAAGCUCUUUCCCCACCUCUUGCGUCUAGGCUGUGUUUUCACUUGCUUUGACCAAUAGAAGAUGAAAGAAUGACAUUAUGCAAUUGUAAGCCUUCGAUUUUUACUCUUUGGGAACUCUAGCCAAAGACUACCACAAAAGGAAGCCAGUCUAGUCAGCUGGAGACUGAUACACCAUGAGGAAAAAAGAUCCACAGUGAUCAAGAAGACGGCCAGCUUCAACUGUCAGACCUACGAGUCUGGCCAUCUUGCAUCUUCCGACCCAGCUGAUCCUGAGCUUAAUGAAGCUACAUGAGUGAGUGCUAUGGAGAAAGCACAGCCAGCCAACAUUCUUGUGAGAAAUAACAAGUCUUUUUUUUUUCCUUCAGCUUUUAUUUUAAGUUCUGGGGUACAUGUGCAAGAUG
rnacentral:lncRNA from 1 species